UGUGGCUCAGUGGUAGAGCGCUUGCCUAGCAUGCAUGAAGCCCUGGGUUCGAUUCCUCAGCA
rnacentral:tRNA from 1 species